UCAGAAUAACUGGGUGACAGCUAGCCAAAGGCAUGGCUAGGUCUGCAAUGAGCAGCUCAUCUGAAAAUUUCCUGCUGUUGUAUGAGAAUAGAACCCUCUCCCAGGUGUAUCUAAGUGAAAUUUUCCCAAGAGGACCUGAUACUCUCACUGGAAAGAAGUUAGAAUAAUGGAAGAAAUGAGGGACACACUUUGGCCUGGAAGUAAAAUCUGCAUUCUUCAGGGAUGCCCUGUGGAUUGGCUUGGUAGGGCUACAUACAAAGCACCAUAACCUGGUUCAAGAUUGGCAGAAAAUAAAGCCAGAGGAAAGCAGGAGCAUAUGGCCUGGGUGUAUUAACAGGCCAACCAUCUACAUUCCAUGCGACCCAGUGCACUGGACAGUCAACAGAGUUUAGAGAAGAAUGGCAGCUGUGUGGGAUGGAAAGAAGGAAAGUUAGGGAGUCAGGAGGCCUGGGUCCUCGUCUGGGAUGUCCUCUACAUGGCACAGAACCACGAUGCCAAUUCAUCAUUCUGGGCCUCAUCACCACCUGCAAAAUGGAAGAAUUGCCUGGGGGUGGCAACGGCUCUGCUGCUUCUGGCUCUUGGGUGUGUCUCUCUCUCUUGAGGUGCCUCUACCUGUCACCUGUACCUGUGGAAUAAGGCCUUACAAAUAAACUCUCAUAAACCGACC